UACGGAGGGUGCAAGCGUUAUCCGGAUUCACUGGGCUUAAAGGGUGCGUAGGCGGGCAGGUAAGUCAGUGGUGAAAUCUCCGGGCUUAACCCGGAAACUGCCGUUGAUACUAUCUGUCUUGAAUAUCGUGGAGGUAAGCGGAAUAUGUCAUGUAGCGGUGAAAUGCUUAGAUAUGACAUAGAACACCCAUUGCGAAGGCAGCUUACUAGACGAUCAUUGACGCUGAGGCACGAAAGCGUGGGGAGCAAACAGG
rnacentral:rRNA from 1 species